rnacentral:rRNA from 1 species
GUGUCAGCAGCCGCGGUAAUACGUAGGUGGCAAGCGUUGUCCGGAAUUAUUGGGCGUAAAGCGCGCGCAGGCGGUCCUUUAAGUCUGAUGUGAAAGCCCACGGCUCAACCGUGGAGGGUCAUUGGAAACUGGGGGACUUGAGUACAGAAGAGAAGAGUGGAAUUCCACGUGUAGCGGUGAAAUGCGUAGAGAUGUGGAGGAACACCAGUGGCGAAGGCGACUCUUUGGUCUGUAACUGACGCUGAGGCGCGAAAGCGUGGGGAGCAAACAGGAUUAGAUACCCCCGUAGUCC